UACGUAGGGGGCAAGCGUUGUCCGGAAUCAUUGGGCGUAAAGAGCGUGUAGGCGGCCCGAUAAGUCCGCUGUGAAAAGUCCAGGGCUCAACCCUGGAAUGCCGGUGGAUACUGUCGGGCUCGAAUCCGGAAGAGGUGAGUGGAAUUCCUGGUGUAGCGGUGAAAUGACGCAGAUAUCAGGAGGAACACCAAUGGCGAAAGGCAGCUCACUGGGGACGGUAUUGACGCUGAGACGCGAAAAGCGUGGGGGGAGCAAAACAGG
rnacentral:rRNA from 1 species